rnacentral:rRNA from 1 species
AGAGUUUGAUCCUGGCUCAGAUUGAACGCUGGCGGCAGGCCUAACACAUGCAAGUCGAGCGGUAGAGAGAAGCUUGCUUCUCUUGAGAGCGGCGGACGGGUGAGUAAUGCCUAGGAAUCUGCCUGGUAGUGGGGGAUAACGUUCGGAAACGGACGCUAAUACCGCAUACGUCCUACGGGAGAAAGCAGGGGACCUUCGGGCCUUGCGCUAUCAGAUGAGCCUAGGUCGGAUUAGCUAGUUGGUGAGGUAAUGGCUCACCAAGGCGACGAUCCGUAACUGGUCUGAGAGGAUGAUCAGUCACACUGGAACUGAGACACGGUCCAGACUCCUACGGGAGGCAGCAGUGGGGAAUAUUGGACAAUGGGCGAAAGCCUGAUCCAGCCAUGCCGCGUGUGUGAAGAAGGUCUUCGGAUUGUAAAGCACUUUAAGUUGGGAGGAAGGGCAGUAAAUUAAUACUUUGCUGUUUUGACGUUACCGACAGAAUAAGCACCGGCUAACUCUGUGCCAGCAGCCGCGGUAAUACAGAGGGUGCAAGCGUUAAUCGGAAUUACUGGGCGUAAAGCGCGCGUAGGUGGUUUGUUAAGUUGGAUGUGAAAUCCCCGGGCUCAACCUGGGAACUGCAUUCAAAACUGACUGACUAGAGUAUGGUAGAGGGUGGUGGAAUUUCCUGUGUAGCGGUGAAAUGCGUAGAUAUAGGAAGGAACACCAGUGGCGAAGGCGACCACCUGGACUAAUACUGACACUGAGGUGCGAAAGCGCGGGGAGCAAACAGGAUUAGAUACCCUGGUAGUCCACGCCGUAAACGAUGUCAACUAGCCGUUGGAAGCCUUGAGCUUUUAGUGGCGCAGCUAACGCAUUAAGUUGACCGCCUGGGGAGUACGGCCGCAAGGUUAAAACUCAAAUGAAUUGACGGGGGCCCGCACAAGCGGUGGAGCAUGUGGUUUAAUUCGAAGCAACGCGAAGAACCUUACCAGGCCUUGACAUCCAAUGAACUUUCUAGAGAUAGAUUGGUGCCUUCGGGAACAUUGAGACAGGUGCUGCAUGGCUGUCGUCAGCUCGUGUCGUGAGAUGUUGGGUUAAGUCCCGUAACGAGCGCAACCCUUGUCCUUAGUUACCAGCACGUAAUGGUGGGCACUCUAAGGAGACUGCCGGUGACAAACCGGAGGAAGGUGGGGAUGACGUCAAGUCAUCAUGGCCCUUACGGCCUGGGCUACACACGUGCUACAAUGGUCGGUACAGAGGGUUGCCAAGCCGCGAGGUGGAGCUAAUCCCACAAAACCGAUCGUAGUCCGGAUCGCAGUCUGCAACCCGACUGCGUGAAGUCGGAAUCGCUAGUAAUCGCGAAUCAGAAUGUCGCGGUGAAUACGUUCCCGGGCCUGUACUCACGGCCCGUC